rnacentral:rRNA from 1 species
UACGUAGGGUGCAAGCGUUAAUCGGAAUUACUGGGCGUAAAGCGUGCGCAGGCGGUUUUGUAAGUCUGACGUGAAAUCCCCGGGCUCAACCUGGGAAUUGCGUUGGAGACUGCAAGGCUGGAGUCUGGCAGAGGGGGGUAGAAUUCCACGUGUAGCAGUGAAAUGCGUAGAGAUGUGGAGGAACACCGAUGGCGAAGGCAGCCCCCUGGGUCAAGACUGACGCUCAUGCACGAAAGGCGUGGGGAGCAAACAGG